GGGAUUGCCUCAGUAGCGGCGAGUGAAGCGGCAAAAGCUCAAAUUUGAAAUCUGGCGUCUUUGGCGUCCGAGUUGUAAUUUGAAGAAGGUAUCUUUGGGCCCGGCUCUUGUCUAUGUUCCUUGGAACAGGACGUCACAGAGGGUGAGAAUCCCGUGCGAUGAGAUGACCCGGGUCUGUGUAAAGUUCCUUCGACGAGUCGAGUUGUUUGGGAAUGCAGCUCUAAGUGGGUGGUAAAUUCCAUCUAAAGCUAAAUAUUGGCGAGAGACCGAUAGCGAACAAGUACAGUGAUGGAAAGAUGAAAAGAACUUUGAAAAGAGAGUGAAAAAGUACGUGAAAUUGUUGAAAGGGAAGGGCUUGAGAUCAGACUUGGUAUUUUGCAUGCUGCUCUCUCGGGGGCGGCCGCUGCGGUUUACCGGGCCAGCAUCGGUUUGGAGCGGCAGGAUAAUGGCGGAGGAAUGUGGCACGGCUUCUGCUGUGUGUUAUAGCCUCUGACGAUACUGCCAGCCUAGACCGAGGACUGCGGUUUUUAACCUAGGAUGUUGGCAUAAUGAUCUUAAGUCGCCCGUCUUGAAACACGGACCAAGGAGUCUAACGUCUAUGCGAGUGUUUGGGUGUAAAACCCGUACGCGUAAUGAAAGUGAACGAAGGUGGGGGCCCAUUAGGGUGCACCAUCGACCGAUCCUGAUGUGUUCGGAUGGAUUUGAGUAAGAGCAUAGCUGUUGGGACCCGAAAGAUGGUGAACUAUGCCUGAAUAGGGUGAAGCCAGAGGAAACUCUGGUGGAGGCUCGUAGCGGUUCUGACGUGCAAAUCGAUCGUCGAAUUUGGGUAUAGG
rnacentral:rRNA from 1 species